UACGUAGGGUGCGAGCGUUGUCCGGAAUUAUUGGGCGUAAAGGGCUCGUAGGCGGUCUGUUGCGUCAGGAGUGAAAACUCGGGGCUUAACCCCGAGCCUGCUUCUGAUACGGGCAGACUAGAGGUAUGCAGGGGAGAACGGAAUCCCUGGUGUAGCGGUGAAAUGCGCAGAUAUCAGGAGGAACACCGAUGGCGAAGGCAGGUCUCUGGGCCACUACUGACGCUGAGAAGCGAAAGCAUGGGGAGCGAACAGG
rnacentral:rRNA from 1 species